rnacentral:rRNA from 1 species
UACGCAGGGCGCAAGCGUUGUCCGGAAUUAUUGGGCGUAAAGAGCUCGUAGGCGGUUUGUCGCGUCUGCUGUGAAAACCUAAGGCUCAACCUUGGGCUUGCAGUGGGUACGGGCAGACUAGAGUGCGGUAGGGGUGACUGGAAUUCCUGGUGUAGCGGUGGAAUGCGCAGAUAUCAGGAGGAACACCGAUGGCGAAGGCAGGUCACUGGGCCGCAACUGACGCUGAGGAGCGAAAGCAUGGGGAGCGAACAGG